AUUGAACGCUGGCGGCAUGCCUUACACAUGCAAGUCGAACGGCAGCGGACCUUCGGGUGCCGGCGAGUGGCGAACGGGUGAGUAAUGCAUCGGAACGUGCCAUUGAGUGGGGGAUAACGUAGCGAAAGUUGCGCUAAUACCGCAUAUUCUGUGCGCAGGAAAGCAGGGGACCGCAAGGCCUUGCGCUCUUUGAGCGGCCGAUGUCAGAUUAGCUAGUUGGUGAGGUAACGGCUUACCAAGGCGACGAUCUGUAGCGGGUCUGAGAGGAUGAUCCGCCACACUGGAACUGAGACACGGUCCAGACUCCUACGGGAGGCAGCAGUGGGGAAUUUUGGACAAUGGGCGCAAGCCUGAUCCAGCCAUGCCGCGUGAGUGAAGAAGGCCUUCGGGUUGUAAAGCUCUUUCAGACGGAAAGAAAUACGCGCGCUCUAACAUAAGCGCGUGGAUGACGGUACCGUAAGAAGAAGCACGGCUAACG
rnacentral:rRNA from 1 species